rnacentral:miRNA from 1 species
GAUGUUAACAAAAGUUGUUCGUCAUGAUGAGAGCUACAACUUUGCUUAAUAUCCUUUCAACAAAUUAUGCGUAUUUAAGGAGAUAGGGCUGCGCAUGCGCAGAACGUAUCUCCUUACCUUUGCACUUUUUGGCAAGAAGAUGUUAACGAAAGUUGUUCGUCUUGAUGAGGGCUACAACUUUGCUUAAUAUCCUUUUAACAAAUUAUGCGUAUUUAAGGAGAUACGGCUGCGCAUGCGCAGAACGUAUCUCCUUAACUUUGCACUUUUUGGUAAGAAGAUGUUAACGAAAGUUGUUCGUCUUGAUGAGGGCUACAACUUUGCUUAAUAUC